rnacentral:rRNA from 1 species
GAUGAACGCUGGCGGCGUGCCUAAUACAUGCAAGUCGAGCGAACAGACGAGGAGCUUGCUCCUCUGACGUUAGCGGCGGACGGGUGAGUAACACGUGGAUAACCUACCUCUAAGACUGGGAUAACUUCGGGAAACCGGAGCUAAUACCGGAUAAUAUAUUGAACCGCAUGGUUCAAUAGUGUAAGAGGGUUUUGCUGUCACUUAUAGAUGUAUCCGCGCCGCAUUAGCUAGUUGGUAAGGUAACGGCUUACCAAGGCAACGAUGCGUAGCCGACCUGAGAGGGUGAUCGGCCACACUGGAACUGAGACACGGUCCAGACUCCUACGGGAGGCAGCAGUAGGGAAUCUUCCGCAAUGGGCGAAAGCCUGACGGAGCAACGCCGCGUGAGUGAUGAAGGUCUUCGGAUCGUAAAACUCUGUUAUUAGGGAAGAACAAAUGUGUAAGUAACUAUGCACGUAUUGACGGUACCUAAUCAGAAAGCCACGGCUAACUACGUG